GGAGGCCUGGGGCAGCCCAGUCCCACUGCGGGGUAAGAGGCUGUGUCCACCAUGGCCUGGACUCCUCUCCUCUUCCUGCUCCUCUCUCACUGCACAGGUUCCCUCUCGCAGCCUGUGCUGACUCAGCCAAGCUCCCUCUCAGCAUCUCCUGGAGCAUCAGCCAGACUCACCUGCACCUUUAGCGGUGGCAUCAUUGUUGGUGGCUACCACAUAUUCUGGUACCAGCAGAAGCCAGGGAGUCCUCCCCGGUAUCUCCUGAGGUACAAAUCGGACUCAGAUAAGCACCAGGGCUCUGGAGUCCCCAGCCGCUUCUCUGGAUCCAAAGAUGCUUCGGCCAAUGCAGGGAUUUUACUCAUCUCCGGGCUCCAGUCUGAGGAUGAGGCUGACUAUUACUGUGUGAUUUGGCACAGCAGUGGUGCUUCUCACAGUGACACACACAGAUGGGGAACUGGGACGAAAACCUCGCCCUGCUCUCACUCUUGUUCUGUGACAAUUUUCAAAUUGUGAAAAUAACUUGCCUAUUUACAAAGUGUAUUUGGAAGUACUCUCUUGUGGUAACAGGCUUUUCUCUCAAUUUCCCAUUCAUAGUUUUUGAAGUCUGAGUAAAACAAAACCAAACCAAACCAC